rnacentral:lncRNA from 1 species
AGGGAAAGAAUAAAUAACACAUUACACAUAUGAUCAAUAACCAUGGAGAAUCUAGCUAUGAGUAUGGAAGUUCUACAGGAAUCACUAAAUUAGAUAAAUCCCUAAACCAGAAUUAAUGACAACAACCAUUAGAUAAAUCCAUAAUUAGAAUUAAUCACACCAACCAGUAGGCAUUAGAUAAAUCCCUAAAUCAGAAAACACAAUUAAAUACUGGAAUUCCUAAAUUAAUAUUGCUUCUUCCGAGCUCAUUACAAUGAUACAGCAGAUGGGUUGAGGAAAUCAUAUAGAAUAUAAUUUUCCAUUUUGUGAGUCAAACUGGUUUUAAUCUAUAUUGUUUGCUUAGGUUCAACUAAUACAUAAAACAAACCAAUUACUCUGACGAUUUAGUAGACAAUCUGCCCAAGCCAGCUCACAAAUUUUAAGUUUUUGCUCUAAGAUGCGGAAUUAAUGGUCUCAAUUAUACUAAAUCCCAAUGACUGCACCAACAAAAUUUAGUUUCUUAGUGAGCAAAAACGACAAAUUGUUGAACCCCACAUGCAUAAUUUGAUGCCCCAAAAUAAGUAACCACUUAUUGAAUACAAAAAUAAAUAAAUAAAAUAAAAUAAAAUAAAAUAAAAAAGUCCAAUCUUGGAUGUGAUUGUUCAAAAGAAAAACAAUUUCUUAUUGCUAAGAAAUGAUAAUAACGAAUUGCAGGACCAGAAGCUGUACAAAUAAUGGAGAAUCUUGCAGUUUUAUUUGAUACUUUUGUACUAAUCAGGCAGUCAAAGCUUCACUCUUGCAACCAAUUUUGUCCUCAUCGAGAGACCUACACCCCCAAUAAUUUCCAUUGCACUGAUUAAGACAACAAUCUAAGCUUGUUCUCAAUAAAUUUGAGUCGACCACAUAAACGUAUUGUGUACACCAGUACAAAUGGCUAAUAGUCAAUUAUGAAAUCCCAGAGAAUGAACAAAGAUGACGAAUC